UGAGCGUCUGGUAGGUUUGAACCCCGACCUUUCCGUUAGCAGCUGAGCACUUUAACCACAGCACCGCCAGGGCUCUUUCCUUGGCUAUUGGUAAAUGACAACUAGACCAAGUUUUAUUUACUUAAUUUUAAAAAACAAAUAAUUCAUGUGGGCCAUUUUUUGGCGGCCUUUUGGAAAUAAUAGCUCAGGCUGCGUCUUCCAGGAAAAGAAACUCAGAAUGUCUGGCAGUUAUAAGCUUAUAAGAAAGAAAACACUCGUGUUGAGAAAGGAAGAGAUGACAUGGUGUUAGCCUGAAUUAUUCUGGUGUGACCAUUUCUCUUACCAGAUGGUUGCUCAACCUUGCUUCUCUCUGCAGAAGUCAGCUGAGCCACAACCUCUUCCUGAAAGAGGGGGCAUUGUGUUUCAAAAUUAAUUACCACUUCUCCAUCAAGAAAGAAACUUUGACUAAAGUUACAAAAAGAACCGUAAUCAGAGAUGGAGUGCCACCUAAUAGAAGGACUCACCACCACCGGAAAAACCGCUGAAUCUGAUCAGAUAUACACUUUCAAUUGCUGCAACUACAAGAUCUUAAAUAGAAGAUUUUAGCACUUUAUUGAUUGAAAGAUUUUAAAGAAGACUUAAAUAAACGGUGAAAUAGACUAUGUUCUUAGACUGGAAGACUAAAUAUCAUAAAGAUGUCAAUUCUCCCCACCC